CGGCGUGCCUAAUACAUGCAAGUCGAACGCUUCUUUCCUCCCGAGUGCUUGCACUCAAUUGGAAAGAGGAGUGGCGGACGGGUGAGUAACACGUGGGUAACCUACCCAUCAGAGGGGGAUAACACUUGGAAACAGGUGCUAAUACCGCAUAACAGUUUAUGCCGCAUGGCAUAAGAGUGAAAGGCGCUUUCGGGUGUCGUUGAUGGAUGGACCCGCGGUGCAUUAGCUAGUUGGUGAGGUAACGGCUCACCAAGGCCACGAUGCAUAGCCGACCUGAGAGGGUGAUCGGCCACACUGGGACUGAGACACGGCCCAGACUCCUACGGGAGGCAGCAGUAGGGAAUCUUCGGCAAUGGACGAAAGUCUGACCGAGCAACGCCGCGUGAGUGAAGAAGGUUUUCGGAUCGUAAAACUCUGUUGUUAGAGAAGAACAAGGACGUUAGUAACUGAACGUCCCCUGACGGUAUCUAACCAGAAAGCCACGGCUAACUACGUGCCAGCAGCCGCGGUAAUACGUAGGUGGCAAGCGUUGUCCGGAUUUAUUGGGCGUAAAGCGAGCGCAGGCGGUUUCUUAAGUCUGAUGUGAAAGCCCCCGGCUCAACCGGGGAGGGUCAUUGGAAACUGGGAGACUUGAGUGCAGAAGAGGAGAGUGGAAUUCCAUGUGUAGCGGUGAAAUGCGUAGAUAUAUGGAGGAACACCAGUGGCGAAGGCGGCUCUCUGGUCUGUAACUGACGCUGAGGCUCGAAAGCGUGGGGGAGCAAACAGGAUUAGAUACCCUGGUAGUCCACGCCGUAAACGAUGAGUGCUAAGUGUUGGAGGGUUUCCGCCCUUCAGUGCUGCAGCAAACGCAUUAAGCACUCCGCCUGGGGAGUACGACCGCAAGGUUGAAACUCAAAGGAAUUGACGGGGGCCCGCACAAGCGGUGGAGCAUGUGGUUUAAUUCGAAGCAACGCGAAGAACCUUACCAGGUCUUGACAUCCUUUGACCACUCUAGAGAUAGAGCUUUCCCUUCGGGGACAAAGUGACAGGUGGUGCAUGGUUGUCGUCAGCUCGUGUCGUGAGAUGUUGGGUUAAGUCCCGCAACGAGCGCAACCCUUAUUGUUAGUUGCCAUCAUUUAGUUGGGCACUCUAGCGAGACUGCCGGUGACAAACCGGAGGAAGGUGGGGAUGACGUCAAAUCAUCAUGCCCCUUAUGACCUGGGCUACACACGUGCUACAAUGGGAAGUACAACGAGUCGCUAGACCGCGAGGUCAUGCAAAUCUCUUAAAGCUUCUCUCAGUUCGGAUUGCAGGCUGCAACUCGCCUGCAUGAAGCCGGAAUCGCUAGUAAUCGCGGAUCAGCACGCCGCGGUGAAUACGUUCCCGGGCCUUGUACACACCGCCCGUCACACCACGAGAGUUUGUAACACCCGAAGUCGGUGAGGUAACCUUUUUGGAGCCAGCCGCCUAAGGUGGGAUAGAUGAUUGG
rnacentral:rRNA from 1 species